CCUGUGCUUAUCGACCCGUGCAGAGCUGUAGCUAAGGCGUUUCCUAUCCCGCCUGGGGAGUACGUUCGCAAGAAUGAAACUCAAAUGAAUUGACGGGGGCCCACACAAGCAGAGGAGCAUGUGGUUUAAUUCGAUGCAAAGCUUAAAAACCUUACCACGGACUUGACAUGCCGCGAAUCCUCUUGAAAUACACGGGUGCCUUCGGGAACGCUUUACACACGUGGUGCAUGGCUGUCGUGCUGCUCGUGCCGUAAGGUGUUGGGUUAAGUCCCGCACCUAGCGCAACCCUCCUGCUUAAUUGCCACCGUCCAGUUUGGAACCCUGAGCAGACUGCCGGUGAUAAGCCGGAGGAAGGUGAGGAUGACGUCGAGUCAUCAUGCCCCUUAUGCCCUGGGCGACACAAGUGCUACGAUG
rnacentral:rRNA from 1 species